UACGUAGGGCGCAAGCGUUAUCCGGAAUUAUUGGGCGUAAAGAGCUCGUAGGCGGUUUGUCGCGUCUGCCGUGAAAGUCCGGGGCUCAACUCCGGAUCUGCGGUGGGUACGGGCAGACUAGAGUGAUGUAGGGGGGACUGGAAUUCCUGGUGUAGCGGUGGAAUGCGCAGAUAUCAGGAGGAACACCGAUGGCGAAGGCAGAUCUCUGGGCCGUAACUGACGCUGAGGAGCGAAAGCAUGGGGAGCGAACAGG
rnacentral:rRNA from 1 species